rnacentral:tRNA from 1 species
GGAAGGAUGGCGGAGCGGUCGAUCGCGGCGGUCUUGAAAACCGUUGAGCCGCAAGGCUCCGGGGGUUCGAAUCCCUCUCCUUCCGC